GCAGCACCUCGGUCUCCAAAUGUGAAAAUGUAUAUCAGGAUUGUCAUUCCAGUUUGCUCUUAUUUGGUCGUUGCAGAUUCUGUAAAGUGAAGGGAGUUAGUGGCUGUAUUUAUUCUAGUCGUUCUUUGUUACUUUAUCAUAGGGAUCAAAUAGCUCCCUAAUAGGAUGCACCAAUGUGCAGUUGAGUUGGUUGAUCUGCACCUAGGUGCAUGCCUUCAACCUAGUGAUGCUUGGUAUUUUUUUUUUUAAAUAUUACAUUUUUAGUAAAAUAUUUUAAAAAUAUCGUGGUUCAAAAAUUAUUUAUCAAACUAUUGUAGGAGGGCACGUCGGACAAAUUUGUGGGUUCAAUCUAUAAAUUGACUGUUUAGGUGGAUAAUUUCUGGGUUGAACUUACGAAUUCUCUGAUCCAUCUGAUUUUCAUGUAUGAAUUUUGAAAUUUGGAUUCGUGGUAUGGAUCGUAUGGAUCUACGAAUUAACCAAAUAAAUUUGUAAGUUCAAUCCAUGAAUUUAGAUAUUCUUGCAUCCAAUCCAUGAAUCCCUCAACGAAAUUUUUUUCGUAGGUUGAGCAUAUGAAUUUUUGAAUUCGUAGGUUGAAUUUCAAUCAAAUUUUUUUCUAAAUAGUGAUUGUGGCGAAAAAUUUCAAUCAUUUUUUUUUAAAAAAAAUUGUAGGGGU
rnacentral:lncRNA from 1 species